rnacentral:lncRNA from 1 species
UGCUGAGUUGUUUAGGAAUACAUCAUUUUUUCUUCUUUCUUCUGGGGAAAUUAAUGACAAGUGAAUCCAUAGGAAUUCUGUGCAUAAUUUGUUUGCAAGAACAGAACAUUCUACUGUACCAGUACAUAACUAUGUUGCCUACAGGGCUCCUCCCAUUUGCUAACAGUGCCAAACCCUAAAAGACACAGGGCAAGUUGGAAAGACACCUAUGAAUGAAGGGGGCACUACUAACCAUUUGGGAAAAAAAAAAAAAAAAAAAAAAACAGUGGUGGGGAGUCCCUUUCCACAGAAACAGGAGCUCCACAAAGUUCUAGGGUGCACUCUUAUUUGUGCAGGCAGCCACAAAUGCCAUGCAAGUCUUGCCCACUAGACUUGCAUGUCUAGAGGGAGGAGGAGCCAAGUCCACUUAUCCAUGCAAGCAUUCACACAACAUUUCUCAUGUGGGGGAAGACCUCGUCCUCAGUUUGGCUGUGCUUUGUCACCUCAUGCCCUCUCUCCUCAGACCCAAGCUUUCUAUGGCCAAAGGACAAAACUCAAUUGGCCUAUUGCUGCUGCCUCCAACCAAACUUCCAUUUCUAUAAAUGAAACAACCAAACACUCUUGCUAAUUAAAGUGCAU